GAUGAACGCUGGCGGCGUGCCUAAUACAUGCAAGUCGAGCGAACAGACGAGGAGCUUGCUCCUCUGACGUUAGCGGCGGACGGGUGAGUAACACGUGGAUAACCUACCUAUAAGACUGGGAUAACUUCGGGAAACCGGAGCUAAUACCGGAUAAUAUAUUGAACCGCAGGGUUAAUUAGGGAAAGACGGUUUUGCUGUCACUAAUAGAGGAAUCCCCGCCGCAUUAGCUGGUUGGUAAGGUAACGGCUUACCAAGGCAACGAUGCGUAGCCGACCUGAGAGGGUGAUCGGCCACACUGGAACUGAGACACGGUCCAGACUCCUACGGGAGGCAGCAGUAGGGAAUCUUCCGCAAUGGGCGAAAGCUUGACGGAGCAACGCCGCGUGAGUGAUGAAGGUCUUCGGAUCGUAAAACUCUGUUAUUAGGGAAGAACAAAUGUGUAAGUAACUAUGCACGUCUUGACGGUACCUAAUCAGGAAGCCACGGCUAACUACGUG
rnacentral:rRNA from 1 species